CAARCCUUGCACUUUUGGAGCGCCGAUGUCUGAUUAGCUAGUUGGUGGGGUAAUGCCCUACCAAAGCKUCVDUCAGUAGCUGGUCUGAGAGACGGCCAGCCACACUGGGACUGAGACACGGCCMAGACUCCUACGGGAGGCAGCAGUGGGGAAUCUUGGACAAUGGGCGCADGCCUGAUCCAGCCAUGCCGCGUGAGUGAAGAAGGCCUUCGGGUUGUAAAGCUCUUUCAGCCGGGAAGAAAAGGUUGCGACUAAUAAUCGCAAUUCAUGACGGUACCGAAAGAAGAAGCACCGGCUAACUACGUGCCAGCAGCCGCGGUAAUACGUAGGGUGCGAGCGUUAAUCGGAAUUACUGGGCGUAAAGGGUGCGCAGGCGGUUUUGUAAGUVCGAUGUGAAAUCCCCGGGCUUAACCUGGGAACU
rnacentral:rRNA from 1 species